UCCUGGUUAGCUUAAUUGGUUGAGCGCUCCAUUGAAAAUGGAGAGGUCCCUGGUUCGAUACCAGGCCCAGGCG
rfam:Ixodes scapularis strain Wikel colony gcontig_1107728982408, whole genome shotgun sequence.